UGGGGCGUAGCCAAGCGGUAAGGCAACGGGUUUUGAUCCCGGUAUGGGAAGGUUCGACUCCUUUCGUCCCAAAUCG
rnacentral:tRNA from 2 species